rnacentral:rRNA from 1 species
CAAGGUGAGAGAUACGGAGGUAGAGCACUGAAUGUCCUAGGGGGUAUUGCACCUACCGAAGACUAUCAAACUCCGAAUGCCGUCAUCUUAUACUUGGGAGUCAGACUGUGGGUGAUAAGAUUCAUAGUCGAAAGGGCAACAGCCCAGAUCGUCAGCUAAGGUCCCUAAAUGUAAGUUAAGUGGUAAAGGAUGUGGGAUUGCACAGACAACCAGGAUGUUGGCUUAGAAGCAGCCACUCAUUCAAAGAGUGCGUAAUAGCUCACUGGUCGAGUGAUCCUGCGCCGAAGAUUUCCGGGGCUAAAACUUACUACCGAAGCUACGGCAUCAGUAAUGAUGGGUAGGGGAGCUUCCCAUACGGGUUGAAGCAUGACCGUAAGGACAUGUGGACAGUAUGGGAGUGAGAAUGUUGGCAUGAGUAGCGAGAUGUGGGUGAGAAUCCCACAGGCCGUAAACCCAAGGUUGCCAGGGGAAGGUUCGUCCGCCCUGGGUUAGUCGGGACCUAAGCUGAGGCCGAAAGGCGUAGGUGAUGGACAACAGGUUGAUAUUCCUGUACUACCGAUAACCAUUUGAGAGAAGGGAUGACACAGUAGGAUAAGCUAAGCACACUGUUGGUUAUGUGUGCCCAAGCAUUGAGGCAGUCAAAGUAGGCAAAUCCGCUUUGAUAAUGCUGGGAUGUGAUGGGGAGCGAAAUU